CGGUUGAGCCUACCGGAGGCUACUGCUAUUGGAAUCCGAUUAAGCCAUGCGAGUUGAAAGGGUUUAGACCCUUAGCGGACGGCUCAGUAACACGUGGAGAACCUGCCCUCAGGUGGGGGAUAAUCCCGGGAAACUGGGAAUAAUACCCCAUAGGUCUCGAAUGCUGGAAUGCUUCGAGGCUAAAAGUUCCGACGCCUGAGGAUGGCUCUGCGGCCUAUCAGGUAGUAGUGAGGGUAACGUCCUCACUAGCCUAUGACGGGUACGGGCGUUGAGAGACGGAGCCCGGAGAUGGACUCUGAGACACGAGUCCAGGCCCUACGGGGCGCAGCAGGCGCGAAACCUCCGCAAUGCUCGAAAGAGUGACGGGGGGAUUCCAAGUGCCUACGCUCAGCGUAGGCUGUUCGGAUGCCUAAAAAGCAUCAGGAGGAAGGACUGGGUAAGACGGGUGCCAGCCGCCGCGGUAAUACCCGCAGUUCAAGUGGUAGCCGAUUUUAUUGGGCGUAAAGCGUCCGUAGCCGGUCUGGUAAAUACCUGGGUAAAUCGUUUGGCUCAACCAAACGAAUUCCGGGUAGACUACCAGACUUGGGACCGGUUGAGGGAGAGGGUACUUCAGGGGUAGGAGUGAAAUCCUGUAAUCCCUGAAGGACCACCAGUGGCGAAGGCGCUCUCCUUGAACGGGUCCGACGGUUAGGGACGAAAGCCAGGGGAGCAAACCGGAUUAGAUACCCGGGUAGUCCUGGCCGUAAACGCUGCUGGCUUGGUAUUGGGGGUCCUACAGGGCGCCCAGUGCCGUACCGCACGGGAUAAGCCAGCCGCCUGGGGAGUGCGGUCGCAAGACUGAAACUUGAAAGGAAUUCCCGGGGGAGCAC
rnacentral:rRNA from 1 species